rnacentral:rRNA from 1 species
UGGGGAAUAUUGCACAAUGGGCGCAAGCCUGAUGCAGCCAUGCCGCGUGUAUGAAGAAGGCCUUCGGGUUGUAAAGUACUUUCAGUCGGGAGGAAGGUGGUAAGGUUAAUAACCUAUCAAUUGACGUUACCGACAGAAGAAGCACCGGCUAACUCCGUGCCAGCAGCCGCGGUAAUACGGAGGGUGCAAGCGUUAAUCGGAAUUACUGGGCGUAAAGCGCACGCAGGCGGUUGAUUGAGUCAGAUGUGAAAUCCCCGGGCUUAACCCGGGAAUUGCAUCUGAUACUGGUCAGCUAGAGUCUUGUAGAGGGGGGUAGAAUUCCAUGUGUAGCGGUGAAAUGCGUAGAGAUGUGGAGGAAUACCGGUGGCGAAGGCGGCCCCCUGGACAAAGACUGACGCUCAGGUGCGAAAGCGUGGGGAGCAAACAGG